rnacentral:rRNA from 2 species
AGUGAAGCGGCAGGAGCUCAAAUUUGAAAUCUGGGGUCCCCGACCUCCGAGUUGUAAUUUGGAGAGGCAUCUUCGGGGGGGAGCGCCGGCCCAUGUUCCUUGGAACAGGACGUCGCAGAGGGUGAGAAUCCCGUGCCAGGCCGGCUGCCUCCUCCCGGGUGAAGGGCCUUCGACGAGUCGAGUUGUUUGGGAAUGCAGCUCCAAGUGGGUGGUAAAUUUCAUCUAAAGCUAAAUACCGGCGGGAGACCGAUAGCGCACAAGUAGAGUGAUCGAAAGAUGAAAAGCACUUUGAAAAUAGAGUCAAAAAGUACGUGAAAUUGUUGAAAGGGAAGCGCUUGAGACCAGACUCAGGCCCUGGCAAACACCGCGCCCCCCGGGGCCGUGCACUUGCCUGGGGCUGGGCCAGCAUCAGUCGGCGUGGCGGGACAAAGGCGCGGGGAAUGUGGCUCCCCUCGGGGAGUGUUAUCAGGCCCGCGCUCAAUGCCGCCGACGCCGACUGAGGACCGCGCCUCGG